GUGGGAGAUGUACAGGAUGGCAAUAAACAGAUAUAAUAGUAAAAUAUCAAUAAUAGUAAUAACUCAUUAUUAUACAGAUUAAGAAAAAAGGAAAGACAAAAAAAAAAAAAAAACAGUAAUCAAACCCCAUCAUCAUGAGCUAUGGUGUAUCAAUUAAAAUGGAAGGGAAUUACAUGCAAAUGCUUCAAACAGAAAAAGCUGAAUACCUUUCCACUGAUGAUUUUUAGUUGUCAGGACAAGUGAGACCCAAACAGCAGACAGAAUGGUCCCAGCAUGCUUGUUGCCUUUUUUUGUUUGCACAGUAGCUGUCAAUUUCAGCCUUGCAGGAUAAUUAAAAGAGAAACCUGUAAAGGCAACAUUCCUGUGACCGAGUUGGUGCUGCUACGUGCUGAGAGGAAGUGGCCUCACCCAACAGGAGACAUCUUUCAGUUCCACCAAGGUGAAGACGGGUAACUUCUAAGGCAGAGAAAAAGGGAUGCCAGUUACGGACCACAAUGGCCCAGCUUUUUAAACAAAGUGCAAGAGAAUCAUCACCAAUGAGUAAGCUACAAGGCCUAGCCUCUGUGGUUGGGCUGAGUCGAUGUGUGCUUAUGCCAACCCCUUGAUUUCAUUCUGUGUACUCUCUUCACUGACACAGUGAUGCCCGCAGGACUAGAGAGAAACGUUUCAACAGAACAGCAAGUGUAUAUAAAAACCACUGUUCCACCACCUACUGAAAUGAUUCCUACAUGGUUCCCAAGAAAAUAAAGAGAAUAUCUCUCUCCUUAAAACUAAAAUA
ensembl:lncRNA